rnacentral:rRNA from 1 species
GAUGAACGCUAGCGAUAGGCCUAACACAUGCAAGUCGAGGGGCAUCACAUGAAGUAGCAAUACGGAUGGUGGCGACCGGCGCACGGGUGAGUAACACGUAUGCAACCUGCCUUCAACAAGGGGAUAACCCGUUGAAAGACGGACUAAUACCCUAUAACACAGGGGUCCCCAUGGGAAUAUUUGUUAAAGGACAACCGGUUGAAGAUGGGCAUGCGUUCCAUUAGCUAGUUGGCGGGUAACGCCCACCAAGGCAACGAUGGAUAGGGGAACUGAGAGGUUUAUCCCCCACACUGGUACUGAGACACGGACCAGACUCCUACGGGAGGCAGCAGUGAGGAAUAUUGGUCAAUGGACGCAAGUCUGAACCAGCCACGUCGCGUGAAGGAAGACGGCCCUACGGGUUGUAAACUUCUUUUAACGGGAAUAAAGUGCCCCACGCGUGGGGUUUUGCAAUGUACCGUAUGAAUAAGGAUCCGGCUAACUCCGUGCCAGCAGCCGCGGUUAAGUCACUAUCGA